rnacentral:misc_RNA from 1 species
GGCUUUUUUUUUUUCUACACGUCUUGAUCUUUUAGUAUUUAUAUCAGGUGCCUCAGAGUCACGUUUCAGAGUCCCAAGAGCCUUAGAAGUCUUUUUAGAUGAGUGGAAGAGAAUUAGAGUCAAAAUAGAAAUCUAUCUACUGUAAAGUACACAACCUGUGUGGCACUACAUGGCCUUGGGUCGCAUAAUUUUUUGGACUAAUUUCGAGCUUCAUUCAUGAGGAGGCAACAAGUUACACGGGGGUAGGGAGUUCACAUGGGUCCAUGAACACGGCCCGUGUACUGUCAUCUCUCCUUGGCUCUCCAAGUUUUAGCUUCCAAAUGAUUACACUAGGGUAUGUGAGGUACACGGGGUCUGUUACACCACCCAUGUACUGUGGCUUCUCCAUGUCUUCUUCAUUUUCUCUUGACCAGGGGGUUACAUGGGUCAGACUUUGUCCUUACAGGACCCGUGUAGUCUUAUGCAACAACUCUUCUUGCUUUUCCUACUUUCUAAACUUGUCCAAUCGACUUCCAUGCAUUGGUUCUACCUUAAAACACCUGAAAAGAUACA